rnacentral:rRNA from 1 species
GAACNNGGNAAACNAAGAGAUAACNGUAGAAGGGGGGGUAGAAUUUCCAGGNGANAGCGGGUGAAAUGCGUAGAAGAUCUGAAAGGAAUAACCGNGUGGNNGAAGGGCGGCCCACCCUGGACAAGANACUGACACUCAAGAUGCGAAAAGCGUGGGGAGCAAACAGGAUUNAGAUACCCUGGUANNCNACGCCGUAAACGAUGUCUACUUUGGAGGUUGUGGCCUUGAGCCGUGGCUUUCGGAGCUAACGCGUUAAGUAGACCGCCUGGGGGAGUACGGUCGCAAGAUUAAAACUCAAAUGAAUUGACGGGGGCCCGCACAAGCGGUGGAGCAUGUGGUUUAAUUCGAUGCAACGCGAAGAACCUUACCUACUCUUGACAUCUACAGAAGCCAGCGGAGACGCAGGUGUGCCUUCGGGAACUGUAAGACAGGUGCUGCAUGGCUGUCGUCAGNUCGUGUUGUGAAAUGUUGGGUUAAGUCCCGCAACGAGCGCAACCCUUAUCCUUGUUUGCCAGCACUUCGGGUGGGAACUCCAGGGAGACUGCCGGUGAUAAACCGGAGGAAGGUGGGGACGACGUCAAGUCAUCAUGGCCCUUACGAGUAGGGCUACACACGUGCUACAAUGGCGCAUACAGAGGGCGGCCAACUUGCGAAAGUGAGCGAAUCCCAAAAAGUGCGUCGUAGUCCGGAUUGGAGUCUGCAACUCGACUCCAUGAAGUCGGAAUCGCUAGUAAUCGUGGAUCAGAAUGCCACGGUGAAUACGUUCCCGGGCCUUGUACACACCGCCCGUCACACCAUGGGAGUGGGCUGCAAAAGAAGUGGGUAGUUUAACNNNCGGGAGGACGCUCACCACUUUGUGGUUCAUGNNUNNNNNAGUCGUAACAAGGUAACCG